GACGAACGCUGGCGGCGUGCUUAACACAUGCAAGUCGAACGGAAAGGCCCUUCGGGGUACUCGAGUGGCGAACGGGUGAGUAACACGUGGGUGAUCUGCCCUGCACUUUGGGAUAAGCCUGGGAAACUGGGUCUAAUACCGAAUAGGACCACGCGCUUCAUGGUGUGUGGUGGAAAGCUUUUGCGGUGUGGGAUGGGCCCGCGGCCUAUCAGCUUGUUGGUGGGGAAUGGCCUACCAAGGCGACGACGGGUAGCCGGCCUGAGAGGGUGACCGGCCACACUGGGACUGAGAUACGGCCCAGACUCCUACGGGAGGCAGCAGUGGGGAAUAUUGCACAAUGGGCGCAAGCCUGAUGCAGCGACGCCGCGUGAGGGAUGACGGCCUUCGGGUUGUAAACCUCUUUCAAUAGGGACGAAGCGCAAGUGACGGUACCUAUAGAAGAAGCACCGGCCAACUACGUG
rnacentral:rRNA from 1 species